GACGAACGCUUGCGGCGUGCUUAACACAUGCAAGUCGAACGGAAAGGCCCUGCUUUUGUGGGGUGCUCGAGUGGCGAACGGGUGAGUAACACGUGAGUAACCUGCCCUUGACUUUGGGAUAACUUCAGGAAACUGGGGCUAAUACCGGAUAGGAGCUCCUGCUGCAUGGUGGGGGUUGGAAAGCUUCGGCGGUUGGGGAUGGACUCGCGGCUUAUCAGCUUGUUGGUGGGGUAGUGGCUUACCAAGGCUUUGACGGGUAGCCGGCCUGAGAGGGUGACCGGCCACAUUGGGACUGAGAUACGGCCCAGACUCCUACGGGAGGCAGCAGUGGGGAAUAUUGCACAAUGGGCGGAAGCCUGAUGCAGCAACGCCGCGUGCGGGAUGACGGCCUUCGGGUUGUAAACCGCUUUCGCCUGUGACGAAGCGUGAGUGACGGUAAUGGGUAAAGAAGCACCGGCUAACUACGUGCCAGCAGCCGCGGUGAUACGUAGGGUGCGAGCGUUGUCCGGAUUUAUUGGGCGUAAAGGGCUCGUAGGUGGUUGAUCGCGUCGGAAGUGUAAUCUUGGGGCUUAACCCUGAGCGUGCUUUCGAUACGGGUUGACUUGAGGAAGGUAGGGGAGAAUGGAAUUCCUGGUGGAGCGGUGGAAUGCGCAGAUAUCAGGAGGAACACCAGUGGCGAAGGCGGUUCUCUGGGCCUUUCCUGACGCUGAGGAGCGAAAGCGUGGGGAGCGAACAGGCUUAGAUACCCUGGUAGUCCACGCUGUAAACGGUGGGUACUAGGUGUGGGGUCCAUUCCACGGGUUCCGUGCCGUAGCUAACGCUUUAAGUACCCCGCCUGGGGAGUACGGCCGCAAGGCUAAAACUCAAAGGAAUUGACGGGGCCCCGCACAAGCGGCGGAGCAUGCGGAUUAAUUCGAUGCAACGCGUAGAACCUUACCUGGGUUUGACAUGGAUCGGGAGUGCUCAGAGAUGGGUGUGCCUCUUUUGGGGUCGGUUCACAGGUGGUGCAUGGCUGUCGUCAGCUCGUGUCGUGAGAUGUUGGGUUAAGUCCCGCAACGAGCGCAACCCUUGUUCACUGUUGCCAGCACGUUAUGGUGGGGACUCAGUGGAGACCGCCGGGGUCAACUCGGAGGAAGGUGGGGAUGACGUCAAGUCAUCAUGCCCCUUAUGUCCAGGGCUUCACGCAUGCUACAAUGGCUGGUACAGAGAGUGGCGAGCCUGUGAGGGUGAGCGAAUCUCGGAAAGCCGGUCUCAGUUCGGAUUGGGGUCUGCAACUCGACCUCAUGAAGUCGGAGUCGCUAGUAAUCGCAGAUCAGCAACGCUGCGGUGAAUACGUUCCUGGG
rnacentral:rRNA from 1 species